rnacentral:rRNA from 1 species
GAGACAGCAGUCGCCGCGGUAAAACGGAGGGUGCAAGCGUUAAUCGGAAUUACUGGGCGUAAAGCGCACGCAGGCGGUCUGACAAGUCAGAUGUGAAAUCCCCGGGCUUAACCUGGGAACUGCAUUUGAAACUGUCAGGCUGGAGUCUUGUAGAGGGGGGUAGAAUUCCAGGUGUAGCGGUGAAAUGCGUAGAGAUCUGGAGGAAUACCGGUGGCGAAGGCGGCCCCCUGGACAAAGACUGACGCUCAGGUGCGAAAGCGUGGGGAGCAAACAGGAUUAGAUACCCGUGUAGUCCCUGUCUCUUAUAA